rnacentral:tRNA from 1 species
GUCGUGUAGCGGUUAGCAGUCUGGACUUUGAAUCCAGCGACCCGAGUUCAAGUCUCGGC